UCGUAGCCGCCAGGGCGGCGCCACCGAAACCUCGUGGCCGACUUCUUCAGUGAAACGCGGAUCAUUUUCGUUAAUUAGUGCUUUGUGCAGCUUACAAUUAAAGCAAUGAACAUAGGAAUGACUCGAGAGAUGACUGAAUAAUCGUAUUUCAAAGGGAAGCUUAAGUUACAAUGACCUGUUCUACAUCCACGAGGAAACGAGUUCAAGGAGACCCUUUUGGAGAGUCAAGUCAUAGACAAACUGUCUUCGCUGGGACUCGAUCCAGGGCAUCUCACAACAUUACCAUAAACUCCAAACUUUUCUGGGUCGAGGAGGGAAAGAGGUCCUUGUACUUCCUACUUACGGACGCUAAAGUACUGACUACAGAAAAGGGUUCAUCGGAUCAACCUUUUGAAUUCACAGAGAUGUCGAAUUGAAUCCCAAUGUUUACUCCUGGUUGGACGAGAACAAAAUAAGCUCAGCGCGUCACAAAUUUGGAUAAAAGAGCCAUGAAAAUGAACACUGACGGCAUUAUCAGGGUGAUUGUUAUUUUCAUACAUAAAGAUAAUUACAGAGGGGACUCGGUCCACCCAUACAUUAUAUCGAAAUGGAUGACGCCAUAACUUCACGGCGUAAUUAUCGAGUGGGAAAGAAAGGUGUGAUGGAGGCACAUCAUACAUCGUGCAUCAUUUUAUUCGUGAUCCCGUGAUGCAUAAGCCACCUCCGAUGAGGUGAUUACUACUGAUUCAUUAUUCAUUUAUGAAAACUUAAUUUUUGAAAACAACCACUACACAGAGGCUAAUCAUAUCGGUGAUAUCUAAAUAUUCUGAUAAAAAUGUCCAUGCAGUCUUCGUGGCUACACGAAUAUAUUACUAGGCGAGUUCAACUGAAAACAAAUGAAAAUAGCAAUAAUCCUAAAACUAGGAUUAAUUAUAUAAAUGCAUAUAUAUAUAUAUAUAUAUAUAAUAUAUAUAUAUAUGUGUGUGUGUACACUAUUAAAGGCAACAAAAACUAAUCAACAAUAAACGCUUUGUAAAUAUUAUCAAUAUAUCUCGUCAAGCUAAGGAAGACUAUUAAUGUGGAUCCUUCUAUUGAUAACUGA